rnacentral:lncRNA from 1 species
UGCCUAGUUUUGUGUAAGAAAAGUUAGAUAAAGAAAAGGGGAAAGAUGAAGUUGAAGCCGUGGUCUCUCACACUGUUGCACUGAGCUUUGGUAUCAGGCCGGGGGUCAAAAUGCGGCUUUUAGUUCGUGGUGUGUGCAGAUGGCCUCUUGUCACAGUCGUAGAUACACAGUGGUGGCUGCAUUAAGUCUAGAAUGCCAGACCUAAUUACAAAUGACAGUGAUGAAGUCAGGAUUGUAAUCCAAUUUAAAAUGGGGACCCACAAUAUACAAUAUAUCCCAGCGAUGCUCACUGCUGUGCGAUUCAAUCAUUUGACAGCUUCAUCCAGUGUGCGGCCACGGCUGGUAUUGCUUUAGGCUGUAAGGGUGUGAAGAAGGAGACCUCAGGGGACCCCCGACUCCAUGGGGCAAAGCUGGGGCAUCCCUACCCGGAGGCGCAGGGCCCAGGACAGUGCUGACGUACUGUCUGUGUCUGUGCUUGCUAUAGAUUGUGGCGCGUUGAGCACAUGGGGACAGAGCUGACUGGCUUCCUAUUAACCAACAUUUUUACUCACGGGUCAGAAGGUGAUGCGGCUCUUAUAGAAACUCACCCCACACAUCCCCACACCAUUUUUUCUUCUCACCCAUUCUCAAGACCUCACCCAUGUGAGACAUGUCUACUUUUCUCCAUCUUCCCAUCUCAGUAACUUAUUUUAAGAUAAAUCAUUUUAACAGCUUUCUCCUAGGGAAAUUAUUCUGAAAUUUCGAGCAACAGCGUUUUUCCAGAACAUUCUAAGACUCAGCAGUAACUUUUUAAGGGGGAAGACGUUUUAAAAAGAAAUUUCAUUUUACUAACUGCCACACUGCAUAGCUUUUCUAGGGCUGUGGUUAGAUUUACGGGAGAGAGGCACCAGAGUGGAUUACAACACAGGACUGACCUUUUACCACCCGGCUGAAGCUCGAAAAACAAAACCAAAUCCCAUCUUACUAACCAUACCUGCGUCUUUUCUGGGAAAUACCCCAGAAUACAAGUUUGUUUGUUUUUUAAGAUGGUUUUCCUUCCCUGAGAGAACAAUCCUGAAACUUAAGUCAAUAAAGUUCUCAUGCUACAUAAGCAUUUUGCCUCCUCGGGUCAGACUUGAGGCCUUUUCCCCCCUUUCUUCUCGAACAUACAUCAAGUGCCUUAGAUCACGGUGCAUCCUAGGCAGGUUAUGCCAUUUUAAUCUCAUAAAUAUGAAAAUAAAAGACAUAAUCAGAGCAAAAACAGGACUUUUUAUUUUUAAACCAAAGGAAGCCAAAAUAGCAACAGAGGGGUGGGCCAUGGUGACACCCUAGAAGCGGCCUGAACUGGGCUGUAGGCUGUUAGUGUCAAUCUUGAAUUCUUUACCAAGAUCAAGGCCAAUCAUGAAUUAGUUCAGCAGAAGAGCCAAAAGGAGGGAGAUCAUGAAUUAUUCCAUUUAAAUUCUUUUCUCUCAUUUUUUCCUGGUUAAUUUUCCUUUAAUUUCAUUUUGGAAGUUCCUUUGGCUGUGAAAGCUUGGGUUUUCCCUGCUGUGAGAUCAGGACACUAGGCUUUGGAGGGAUCAUUUACAUUUUUGGUCUCUUGAUGGACAGAGCUGCUGUCUGCUCAUAAAGGCAGACGAUGACUCUUUGUGGAUGCCGCAGUGGGCAACAGCUCUUUCUGUGACUUGCCAAAGGUCAUUUAUCGAGCUAGGAAGGAACCACCAUCUUUGGGAUUUCAGUUGACCUUGUAGCCACAGGAGGCCCAGAGGAGGGUUUUUUCCCUUCAGUCUAACUUGUGUCACUUCCAAUCAAAUAUUUGGCAUCGAAUCACUGGAAGAUGAUUUUUAAAACUUGCCCUAUUUAAAGAGAUUCCAUUGAUUUAUCAUGUUAAUGCUGUAACUCAAAUUCCCAACAUGCAAAUAAGAGUGAUUUAUGAAAACACUAUCGUCUAAAAUUAUAACUCCUGAAGAUGGGUAUAUUUUUCUUCUUUGGUGUCGAAUCGCUCCAAACAAGCUCUGAUUGCAUUAACUAUACAUUACGCACUGAAAGGCAAACUCUCUUCAAGGCUAGGUUUUUGCACUUUCUUACUACAACUAAAAACAUUUCUUUAAAAAUUAAGUAAAAUAUUUGUAUUUACAGAAAGUCAGAUAAUGGAAAUUGUUCUACUUAUUUUAGAAUUUUAAUAUUCUAGUGAGAUUAAUAUGUUAAAACCAUUUAGUUUUUUUUCAAUGGCCAAAAUAUAUUUAUCAGGUGCCUAUGCUAGAGUACUAUAUUAGGCAUUGUACAAAACAAACAAACAAACAAAAAAAAAACCAAAAAAAAACCCAUGAUUUUCUUGGAAGUAGUUUUCAAUUUAGGGAAUAAAUUAGUAUUUUUUUUCAAGUCCAUAAAAUUCAUUUCAAAGUGAUUUGAAAAUUAAUUGGCCGGUACGGUGGCUCAGGCCUGUAAUCCCAGCAAUUUGGGAGGCCGAGGCGGGCAGAUCACCUAAGGUCAGGAGUUCAAGACCAGCCUGGCCAAAAUGGUGAAACCCCGUCUCUACUAAAAAUACAAAAAUUAGCUGGGCGUGGCAGUGGGUGCCUGUAAUCCCAGGUACUCAGGAGGCUGAGGCAGAAGAAUCGCUUGAACCCAGGAGGUAGAGAUUGCAGUGAGCCAAGAUUGUGCUGUUGCGCUCCAGCCUGGGCAAAGGGAGUGAAACUCUGUCUCAAAAAAAAAAAAAGAAAGAAAGAAAGAAAAAGAGAGAGAGAAAAUAAAAGAAAAUUAAUAUCAUUGGCUGUUUUUAAGUUCAUCUUUCCCUCCUCUGUCAUCUCACAGGUAUUAGUAAGAACCGCUGUUACACUGCGUGCCACACUGAAUUUCAACUAUCCCUCUAUCUGCUUUGUCUUCUCUCCCAGCCAGUAAGCUACUAAAUGAUUUUGGAUGAAUAAAUAAACAUCUAGGAAUGGGAAAGAGAGCAAAAUUGAACAAAUAGUAAUGAAUUAGAGUAAUCCUUUAAAAGGUGGAAAUUAUUGGAACAGAUAUGCAGUUUAAAUAAGUUGCAGACUAAGAUAGCAGCAUAAAACAUACAGGAAUAUGGCCGGGCGCGGUGGCUCAAGCCUGUAAUCCCAGCACUUUGGGAGGCCGAGGUGGGCGGAUCAUGAGGUCAGGAGAUCGAGACCAUCCUGGCUAACACGGUGAAACCCUGUCUCUACUAAAAAUACAAAAAAUUAGCAGGGCGUGGUGCCGUGCACCUAUAGUCCCAGCUACUCGGGAGGCUGAGGCAGGAAAAUGGCGUGAACCCGGGAGGCGGAGCUUGCAGUGA